GUCAAAAACGAAGCACAUGUUUGGAUUCCAAUGGCUCCAGUGCUAAGAAAUAUUCCAGAAAAGAUGUGACGUUAUAUUCACCUCCUGUUGGAAAGUUCAGUGAACGAGCUGGCACAUAUGAAGCAGGUCAGGGACGUGGACGAGGUCGUGGACGUGGUCGUGGUUUCCGUGGAAGAAGAUAUUAACAGGACCAUAAAUCAAUCAUUGUUUUUAAAUUCUUACAUUUCAUGUUUUUUAAUGACAUUAUUCAAAAUAAUCUCAGUUCAGAAAAUAAACUUUUUGAUAAAACAUGAACUAAACAUAGGAGUUUCUUCAUAAUUGAGAUGGAUAUAUGAGGUAUGUAUUCCGUAAACAUUGCAAAAAAGUUCCAGUUAGAUAGAGAUAGAUGUCUGUCUACCAGUUAUUCUUUUAUGUAAAGAAGGUAUGUUAACUGAUUGAAGUAAAUCACUGUAAAUUCAGAAAUUAUUACGAUGUUUUUAUUAUUAUUGUUAAAAAUUUCACCUGGGUAAUAAUCGCAGUAAUUUAAACUUGCAUUUAAGAAAACAAUUGUAUGAAUUAAACAGGAUUUUUCUCAAUAUCGCAAAAAAUUAAUAUUUUUUUUGUCUGAAAUGACAAAUUGCAAUGAUAAAUGUACGCAAUACUUUCUGAAUUUACGGUGUUCAGCAUCCUUAAAUAUUGUCUAUUGAGAAAAGAUGAUUAAAAACUAGAUGUAAGAUUUAUAUUAAAAUCAGAAAGGACUGUAUUGUAUUGGGGGUUGAAGUCUUGUUUUGGGAAUAGCCUGAGCCCACGUUUCCUAACUUUUGUUGAUGGUUUUACAUUUUAUAGAUUUUUUUCCCCUCUCAUGACAUCAAUAUUUAGGAGAGGCAUACUUUUUUUUAAUUUUUUUCAAAAUCAUAUCUUUCUUAUGUAAUUUGACUGGAGAUCACUACAGAUGACCAGUUUUGUCCCGGCUAAUUGUCCAUAGUUGGAGGGGCACAAAAGGGUCAAACUUCCAAAAGAAGCAGAUUUUUGUGGGGCUACCAAAGACAAGUUUGUCAUUUCUACUCUUCAAGAUAAUUGGUCAAUUUAUUAUCUUGUAUCAUAAGUGUUAAAUCUUGAAGUAACAUUUGAGUUGAGCUACCCUCAGUUAUUUAGUGGAAAUGACUGAUCCCUCUCAAUUAUAGGGUAUGAUGACAUAAUAACAUUGUUUCCAGUGGAGAUGGCUGAAUUCAGGUAAAGUAGUCACAAGGCAUGUCUCAUAGUAUUUAUUUUUGUUUAGAGGUAAGUUUAACCUGAGAACAAACAAUGAUUGAUUUGUGGUGUAGGGAAGAUAACAGCUGCAUCCAGAUAAUGAUGGAAUUACCUCUCUUUGAAAUGGAAGAUGACAACAUGGAAAGCUGUCUGGAGAAAGUGACUUACAUUUGCUUCAUAGAUUCACCAUAUUUUGAUUUCUUAAUUCAAUAUUUUUUGCUUUAUUGUACAUAAUGAUAUAAAAAAGAGAUCAAGUUUUGAAAACCAUUAUCUUUUAUUGAAAAAAGUUAAGAAAUCACACACUUUAAGUAGCUGUUGUUUAUUUUAUUGUUAUUUUUGAAUAAAAUAAUGAAUAUUU